GCCAGGAAGUCUGACACCCAUUACUGAACCUUCUUCAACCGAUCUUCCUGUUCGAUGAUCUAGUCGCAUAUCAACCCCACCUUCCUGGCUUCAAGACUACGUAACGGGAUCGGCCGAAUGGAAACAUGUAUCCUAUGCAUAAUUUUCUUUCUAAUUCACGAUUUUACUCACAGUGCAUAUCUUGCUUACAUCACAGCCAAC
rnacentral:lncRNA from 1 species